GUGGGCGGCUAAAAAUACAUGCAUCUUUGCCAGGGUACAGUACAGUCCAGCGGCUAUUUCAAAUGUGCCACGGACCCGAUUCUUGGAUUUUGGAACUUGCAUUGAUCUCAGGACGGUAAUGGCUCGCAGGUGCCAUGGCUGGAUUCCGUCUGGAAAUCCGCUUAAAAUAUCUCUCGUGGAUAUUUGCCAAAGUGCGUUUUAUUGGUGCUGCGGAUAUAUUGCAGGGUAUCAAGCGUGCCGAGUGUCCAGUAUAAAGUAGAAUUUGAAGCGCAGCUUCAGCAAGCUUCUACGUUUGAGAAUACUCCUUGGGUAAGAGAAUGUGUGGUAUCUCUGGCUGAAGACGGAUUGAAAUCGCCUUACUGCUCUUGAUCCUGAGGUGGCUAGGACUAGUCGCCGCCAGUGCGAAUUCCGACAAUUGUCUAAUAUCAUGGUCUGUUAUGUCUCAAACACUUCACAAUGCCCAUACUGUUCGGUCCCUAUUCUUGACACAUAAUCGUAAAUAACGACAGAAAACAAGUUCACUGCCGCCUAUCUAUCUACUUUGCAUUGCUAAAUUUUUUGUCUAUUCUUGAUCAGUCCGUCCGGAUGUGGAUUCGUUCCAGUGUGGGCCUUAUUCUCAGCCCGUAUCCCUAUCCUAGGUCCUCCCGCAAAAUUAUCCAAAAUCUGUGAAAUAGCCUGGGCAGAAACGAGCAAGCGAAGAGCAACAAUUCGGGAAGCUCGCGAGCAUUUCAUCUCGAACAGAAACUGGAUUGCAUCCCACACCUCAAGUAAAGCAUUGUACCCUCAAAAUGUGUUCAUCACAUAUUGGCCAUGCCUUUCAUCCUCGAUCGGGAAUCAAAUAUACCCUUAGGCAUAUCUAUCAACCAUUUCAAAUCCCCUCCACUGCCCAAUACCCA
rnacentral:sRNA from 2 species